AAUUUGUUUCUUAAUUAGAAAAUAGAAUGAAUGGAUAUAUUAAAUCUUUUCUUUAAAAUAAUAAAAAAUAAAAAUUUUAUUUUUAGUGAAAAUACUAAAACAAAUAUUUUAGACAAAAAGACCCUAUGAAACUAAUAAUUUAUAAUUUAUUAAGAUACAUAUAAAAAAUUAAUUUUUUGGGGUAAAAAUAAAUUUUUAUAUUUAAAUAAAUAAUUAAUAUAAUUAUCCUUUAGGAAAAAAAAAGUUCCUCUAGGGAUAACAGCAUAAUAAUUAUUAAAGUUCAUAUUUAAUUAAUUGA
rnacentral:rRNA from 1 species